UACGUAGGGUCCAAGCGUUAUCCGGAAUCACUGGGCGUAAAGAGCGUGUAGGCGGCCAGGUAGGUCUGCUGUGAAAACUCGAGGCUUAACCUCGAGCUGUCGGCGGAAACCAUCUGGCUAGAGUCCGGAAGAGGAGAAUGGAAUUCCCGGUGUAGCGGUGAAAUGCGCAGAUAUCGGGAAGAACACCCGUGGCGAAGGCGGUUCUCUGGGACGGUACUGACGCUGAGACGCGAAAGCGUGGGGAGCGAACAGG
rnacentral:rRNA from 1 species